rnacentral:lncRNA from 1 species
AGAGAGUAAGUUUGUUGAGCUAAGCAAACCAACAAAUAAAAAAUGGAGAGGCGUCAGAGUGAGGAAGAAUUAAAGCAUAAGCUUCAAGAAUUGCAGAAGCAGUUAGGAAAGAAACAAAUGUUUGAGGAAGCUGUUUCCUCUAUCCGAUCCCUUCUUCUUCAAUACUAUCCUUCUGCUUCCCCUUCUCUUCGUCAUUCGGUAAUUUCCCUCUUCCCCUUUUCUGGGUUUUCCUUUUAUUCUUGAUUUAUGUAAUAUGUAUUACGGGAAAUGUUGACCCAUUAUUUUCUUUUCUGCUAUAGAAAAGUCUUAUUACUUAAUUUUGCUUUUGAGUUAGUGGUUUUCGUGAUUUAUUUGAGUAUAUAUGAGUUUGGAUAGCUGCAGAAUAAAAAGUUAACUGGGUGAGUUUUACUUCUUGGAGCUGAAUUAUGGAAAAUAGGUUGCUAUGGAUAAAUGAGUU